CGCCGGGCCUCGGCUUCCCCGCGGGCAAAACGGGCGGCAGGGUACGGCAUCGGGCCUCGGCUUCCCCGCGGGCAAAACGGGCGGCAGGAUGCGGCGCCGGGCCUCGGCGUCCCCGCGGGCAAAAUGGGAGGCAGAAUAUCUGCGGCGCUGCUGCAAGGCCCGAUGAGAUAACCAAUAUCAGCUCCGACCUUGGCACCCUAGCAAAGAGGGUGCCCACAGCAAGGAAGGGCCAUUCUCAUCUGAACACACUUGGUCCAGGAGGAAGCAUGGAGCCAUCCAGGGAAGUCCUAAAAACCAGGUGUGCCCUCAUUUAUUCAAUCUCAUCAUAAAAUCCCAUUAAAUCAGUCAACAAAUAUCAACUGAGGACCUACCUACUAGGUGCUACAGCCUGCCCCAGGCUACACACUAGGUUACGUAAGUGACCACCAGGACAACAGAAAUAACACUCCAGCAUCACAGCUCUUCAUGACUGAUCCCUUUUUAUGAGUCAAAACAAGCCUGGGGGGAUGGUUGAGGUACUGUGAAAAUGCAUUAUUACUGCCCCAGGCAUCCAAUUACAUAUAUAAGUUGCAUGUUCUAAUUAAAUUUUCCUAAUGUAAUGUCGGCUUUGCCCGCUGCUAUUAAUUAUUGAAGCCACGUUCAGCUUAGGUGGAUUUUCCUCUCCCGCCUCACCUUCCAUUCACUCUUCACUCCUGGCUGCCCUUCGGCUGGCUGCAAACUCCCUGAGGAUGGGUCCUCUUUGAGCAAAGGCACCCACCGUGAGGCUCCCCUGUUGGACAGAGGAGGAGUCACCCAUAGGAGGAGAAGCAAGCAUCACCAGGCUGCUUCGUAACGAACACGUUAAGCACAAUGAUGGUAAUGGAAGGUACUCCAAAACAUCAGUGCACUUCCCUGCACUCUCUCCCAAGAGGCUUGUUUGCUCCCUUCUCACCAUCACCCACUCCCUGACCUAAAAAGGUGGUAACUACUCCCUCAGAAGGUUGAAGACUGUGGUCAGAUCCCAAGACGCAAGCAUGCAGGUGGAUCUGGCAGAGGGACGUUCCCAAGCCCCUGAAAUCAGACUUUAAAAUGUGCUGUGGAGGAAGGAAAGGUGGGGACCGGAGAAAGAACAUGGAACCAGGCCUGGAGCUUUUUCUGCUGGUGGCCAUCCUGGGAGCUGCCCCAAAGCAGCAAGCCUAGCCCUUCGCAAAGGCUCAUCCUGCAGCAAUGCACCUGCCAUGCCCCAGACUCUGCCAUGGCUCUCACCCACAACCAGCCCUCCUUUUGUGGUAAGCAUCCAAGAGCUGCAUAAGACCGAUAUGUUCCUGAGCCCUGGACCGUGCUUGAGGUGUGCCAACAAGCAUAGCUGGAAUGAAUUCCUAUUCACAACAUUAGGAAGAAAGACAUGCCACAUUCUUUAUUUUCUUUAAGCCAAAGUUCAUCUGCAAAUAACCGCCACUAUCCAAGAGACAGCAAAUUCAACUGCAUUCAUUAUUACUCCCCCGACCCCAUGGUAUCUUUAAGGGCCUGGACUCACACGUAGUGGACACCCCACAGAGAUGGGGCCACGAGGGCGGGACCUCAGCCCAAGUCUUCUACUCUACAUGCUGGUCCCCUGAGCUCAAGCUGUCACUCAGCUCCAGGGAAAGGGCUCAGGGCGCCCCUAGCUGCAGUCCAUUCUAGUACAGAGUGACCCACAGGACCCUCUCAGCUGCUCUCCAGGCCAUGGGAAAUAGUGCCUAACUGCCCAACCACCCACAGCAGCUUCUCAUCAGGCAUGCUGCAGCCUAGCCCCAUUCCUGUCCUCAGCAAGAGAGGACGCCCACUGCCAUGGUGUCUGCCAAUUCUUACUUUUGCAAAAGACAAGUCACUAAAACCUCCGUUUUCUAGACACAGAGGCUUAGACCUGCAAAAUGAAAGCUUGGCUGCCAUCCAUAUUGGGAGUGGAAGUAGGGAAACACCAACCAAGAGGUAAAGUCUUCUUCAGCAUACGACUGUAUCCAAACACCUCAUAUAGGGGCAUCUCACCUGCCACAUGCAGACACUUUUGCUCUCUGCCCCCAAAUGAAUCUGAAACACACUGGGAACAAGAGUGGCUCCAACAGCUGAUAUGCUUAGGGAGAAUUUUAAUCUUUUAUUCAUUCAACCAGAAAACAUCUUCAUGAGUGCCUGUGACAUGCUAGGCAUUGUGCAGGUACUGCGGACACACCCGUGGACAAGACAGACACAGUUCCUGUCCACGUGAUGCUAUGAGGAAACUGAGGCUUAGGUAAUCAAAGGGACCAAAGAAAAGUCACACAUCAAGUAGGGAACAGAACGGAGCUGAAACAACACAACCUCUGACCGUGAGUGCACAGAUCCCAGCUCUCCUUUAUGCUCUGUGUACUAGCUAUCAGGCAUCACACUCUAGUGAA
rnacentral:lncRNA from 10 species